UACGAACCGUGCGAACGUUGUUCGGAAUCACUGGGCUUAAAGGGCGCGUAGGCGGGCUCACAAGUCAGGGGUGAAAUCCCACGGCUCAACCGUGGAAGUGCCUUUGAUACUGUGGGUCUUGAGGGAGGUAGGGGCGUGCGGAACUUCCGGUGGAGCGGUGAAAUGCGUAGAUAUCGGAAGGAACACCGGUGGCGAAAGCGGCGCGCUGGACCUCUACUGACGCUGAGGCGCGAAAGCCAGGGGAGCAAACGGG
rnacentral:rRNA from 1 species